rnacentral:hammerhead_ribozyme from 1 species
AUUCAGCUGACAAGUCCCAAAUAGGACUUGACACACGUCCUGGAU